GACGCGCAAUAGCUCAGUUAGAAGAGCAUUGGCCCAGAAAGCCGGCUCCCGGGUUCAAGUUGCGGCUGCGUCA
rnacentral:tRNA from 1 species